rnacentral:rRNA from 1 species
ACACUCCUACGGGAGGCAGCAGUGGGGAAUAUUGCACAAUGGGCGCAAGCCUGAUGCAGCCAUGCCGCGUGUAUGAAGAAGGCCUUCGGGUUGUAAAGUACUUUCAGCGGGGAGGAAGGCGAUAAGGUUAAUAACCUUGUCGAUUGACGUUACCCGCAGAAGAAGCACCGGCUAACUCCGUGCCAGCAGCCGCGGUAAUACGGAGGGUGCAAGCGUUAAUCGGAAUUACUGGGCGUAAAGCGCACGCAGGCGGUCUGUCAAGUCGGAUGUGAAAUCCCCAGGCUCAACCUGGGAACUGCAUUCGAAACUGGCAGGCUAGGGUCUUGUAGAGGGGGGUAGAAUUCCAGGUGUAGCGGUGAAAUGCGUAGAGAUCUGGAGGAAUACCGGUGGCGAAGGCGGCCCCCUGGACAAAGACUGACGCUCAGGUGCGAAAGCGUGGGGAGCAAACAGGAUUAGAAACCCGGGUAGUCCCA